UACGGGGGGUGCGAGCGUUGUCCGGAAUCACUGGGCGUAAAGGGCGCGUAGGUGGUCUGAUAAGGGUGUGGUGAAAGCCCGGGGCUCAACCCCGGGUCGGCCGUGCCGACUGUUAGACUAGAGUACUGUAGGGGCAGGCGGAAUUCCGGGUGUAGCGGUGGAAUGCGUAGAGAUCCGGAGGAAGACCGGUGGCGAAGGCGGCCUGCUGGGCAGUAGCUGACGCUGAAGCGCGACAGCGUGGGGAGCAAACAGG
rnacentral:rRNA from 1 species